GUGAGGUCUACUACACCUGUUGUAUUCAGCAUUUCACUGUGAGGUCUACUACACCUGUUGUAUUCAGCAUUUCACUGUGAGGUCUACUACACCUGUUGUAUUCAGCAUUUCACUGUGAGGUCUACUACACCUGUUGUAUUCAGCAUUUCACUGUGAGGUCUACUACACCUGUUGUAUUCAGCAUUUCACUGUGAGGUCUACUACACCUGUUGUAUUCAGCAUUUCACUGUGAGGUCUACUACACCUGUUGUAUUCAGCAUUUCACUGUGAGGUCUACUACACCUGUUGUAUUCAGCAUUUCACUGUGAGGUCUACUACACCUGUUGUAUUCAGCAUUUCACUGUGAGGUCUACUACACCUGUUGUAUUCAGCAUUUCACUGUAAGGUCUACUACACCUGUUGUAUUCAGCAUUUCACUGUAAGGUCUACUACACCUGUUGUAUUCAGCAUUUCACUGUGAGGUCUACUACACCUGUUGUAUUCAGCAUUUCACUGUGAGGUCUACUACACCUGUUGUAUUCAGCAUUUCACUGUAAGGUCUACUACACCUGUUGUAAUUCAGCAUUUCACUGUGAGGUCUACUACACCUGUUGUAUUCAGCAUUUCACUGUAAGGUCUACUACACCUGUUGUAUUCAGCAUUUCACUGUGAGGUCUACUACACCUGUUGUAUUCAGCAUUUCACUGUGAGGUCUACUACACCUGUUGUAUUCAGCAUUUCACUGUGAGGUCUACUACACCUGUU